GACGAGGGACCUAGCGUCGCUCGGAAUUAUUGGGCGUAAAGCGGGUGUAGGUGGCUUGGUAAGUCAGAUGUGAAAGCCCUGGGCUUAACCCAGGAAGUGCAUUUGAUACUGCUAAGCUUGAGUGCGAGAGAGGUUAAUAGAAUACCUGGUGUAGUGGUGAAAUACGUAGAUAUCAGGUGGAACACCGGAGGCGAAGGCGGUUAACUGGCUCGACACUGACACUGGAGACCCGAAAGUGCGGGGAUCAAACAGG
rnacentral:rRNA from 1 species